rnacentral:antisense_RNA from 1 species
CAUAAGGAGCUUUGACAAGGACCCACACUGCCUGGCCCCAUCUUCAGAGAUUCCAAUAGGUCCGGGGUGUGCACAGGCACUGGCGUCUUUAAAAUCUCCCUAUGUGAAUUCAACAUGCAACCAGGAUUGACUGGAGAACUGCUGCUUGAAGGCAGUGCACACACUUUCUUCAGGUGAUAAUGAGGAAGAACGUGCCUCAGCAAGUCAGGAAAAGGGGCUUAGGGGAGGGCCAGUGGCUCCUCCUUUGGCCAGGCCAGUUUUCUUCUGACAAGGACUUGUUUUCACUUAACCGUCCAGAUCCGCAGAUGGGCACAAGAUGACAGAAUGAAGCAGCGGGGGACAACUUCUGAUUGGAGUGGCUUGGAGGCUGGAGCAGCUGAGCUUUAACAAGCAUCAGAGGUUGGAAAUACUUGGCUAGAUCAAGAAGCCACACAGCAUCAUAAUGCCACUGGCACAUCUCCCAGAACAGGGUACCAGGACCCCUGUGAAGAUACCCAUGGUUCAAUCAUGAGGACCUACAGAUCCUUCCAUGUUAAGGACAAUACCAAUAAUACUGAGAAAGCAAACUGCAGAUUGGCAGUGUUAAAGGAUAACAACGUGCCAACAGAAUAUUAAGAAAGAAAACUUCUUUGCAAAAGUUGAAAGAGGGACUACAAAUCUCAGUCAAAUUACAAACAGACAACAGAGGACAGCAUUUGGAAACGACUUCCCGAGGCAAGCACUACUCAGUGCCCCACUUCCCUCUCCCCAUGCCCCUUUGCAAAGAUCUAUUACAUUAAUAAAUUUCUUUAAAUGCUAAAA